rnacentral:siRNA from 1 species
AUGCCUUAUGUUAAGUAGUAAACA